UACGGGGGGGGCAAGCGUUGUUCGGAAUUACUGGGCGUAAAGGGCUCGUAGGUGGCCAACUAAGUCAGACGUGAAAUCCCUCGGCUUAACCGGGGAACUGCAUCUGAUACUGGAUGGCUUGAGAUUGGGAGAGGGAUGCGGAAUUCCAGGUGUAGCGGUGAAAUGCGUAGAUAUCUGGAGGAAUACCGGUGGCGAAGGCGGCAUUCUGGACCGACAUUGACGCUGAGGAGCGAAAGCCAGGGGAGCAAACGGG
rnacentral:rRNA from 1 species